ACAUGUAUCAAUCCUACACAAGGAUCUAAAUAUGAUAUGUACAUAGCAUGCAUUUAAAUUUGAAAUUCAAACUUCUAUAGUAAAUAUUUUACUGUUAUGUGUUUAGAACACAUUACCUUUGUGUGGGUAAUCGAUAGCCGCAAUCUAAUCAUCAUCGGGAGGGUCUGAUCAUUGCAACAUAGUCACACAAUGUGUCUGGCCUCUACGGAUCAUCCACACGAAGCUUCCGGUC
rnacentral:lncRNA from 1 species